rnacentral:rRNA from 1 species
UAAAUGGCCGCAGUAUUUUAACUGUGCAAAGGUAGCAUAAUAAUUAGUCUUUUAAUUGAAGGCUUGUAUGAAUGAUUGGACGAGAUAUAAGCUGUCUCAUAAAAAUUAAUAGAAUUUUAUUUUUUAGUCAAAAAGCUAAAAUUUUUUAAAAAGACGAGAAGACCCUAUAGAUCUUUAUAAUUUAAUUAAUAUUUAUUAUAAGGAUUAUUUUAAAAUUUAUUAAUUAAAUUAUUUUAUUGGGGUGAUAUUGAAAUUUAAUUAACUUUCAAUUAUUAUUUACAUAAAUUAAUGAUGAAUUUGAUCCGUUAUUAACGAUUAAAAAUUUAAGUUACCUUAGGGAUAACAGCGUAAUUAUUUUGGAGAGUUCAUAUCGAUAAAAUAGGUUGCGACCUCGAUGUUGGAUUA